rnacentral:rRNA from 1 species
CCGAAACUGAACGAGGCUACUCCAAGACAGCCUUCAUAGGGCACAUCUCUCUCUGAUGGCAAAAGAGUGGAAAGAGCUUCGAGUACAGGCGACAAACCUACCGAGUUCAGUAAUACCUGGUUGCCGACAAUUGAGUCGAAGCUCACCCUUUGUGACUUCUUACACCACCACCGCAACAGGAAAACCGAAGCUAACAAAUCAAAAAAGUAAAUCAAUGGGGGUACAGGCCCAUUGAUCUAAGAAACAACUUUUCCAGGAGAAUAAGGAUCAUAUUACAACCAAGGCUAUGUGUUCCGGUGGGCCUAAAAGCAGCCACCCCAUAGAAGCGUUAAAGCUCAAACACACUCUGCCAUAAUCCCGAUAACACAUCCCAACCCCUGGCCUCUAUCGGGCUUUCCAUGCUCCCCCAUGGAAGAGAUCAUGCUAGUAUGAGUAAUAAGGGGCCGACCCCCUCCAGGCACAAGUGUACAUCGGAACGAACCCCCACCGAAACUUAACGAGCCCAACCAAAGAGAGCAAUGAAUACCAAAUAAACAACAAGAAAAACAUUCAACACCCCGCCGUUAACCCCACACUGGCGUGCCCAACCGGAAAGACCAAAAGAAAAAGAAGGAACUGCAAACCAAAAAGCCCCGCCUGUUUACCAAAAACAUCGCCUCUUGCAAAAACAACGAAUAAGAGG